rnacentral:rRNA from 1 species
UCUUCCGCAAUGGACGAAAGUCUGACGGAGCAACGCCGCGUGAGUGAUGAAGGCUUUCGGGUCGUAAAACUCUGUUGUUAGGGAAGAACAAGUACCGUUCGAAUAGGGCGGUACCGUGACGGUACCUAACCAGAAAGCCACGGCUAACUACGUGCCAGCAGCCGCGGUAAUACGUAGGUGGCAAGCGUUAUCCGGAAUUAUUGGGCGUAAAGCGCUCGCAGGCGGUUUCUUAAGUCUGAUGUGAAAGCCCACGGCUCAACCGUGGAGGGUCAUUGGAAACUGGGAGACUUGAGUGCAGAAGAGGAGAGUGGAAUUCCACGUGUAGCGGUGAAAUGCGUAGAGAUGUGGAGGAACACCAGUGGCGAAGGCGACUCUCUGGUCUGUAACUGACGCUGAGGAGCGAAAGCGUGGGGAGCAAAC